rnacentral:rRNA from 1 species
AACGAACGCUGGCGGCAUGCCUAACACAUGCAAGUCGAACGAGACCUUCGGGCCUAGUGGCGCACGGGUGCGUAACGCGUGGGAACCUGCCCUUAGGUUCGGAAUAACUCCCCGAAAGGGGUGCUAAUACCGGAUAAUGUCUUCGGACCAAAGAUUUAUCGCCUUUGGAUGGGCCCGCGUUGGAUUAGCUAGUUGGUAGGGUAAAAGCCUACCAAGGCGACGAUCCAUAGCUGGUCUGAGAGGAUGAUCAGCCACACUGGGACUGAGACACGGCCCAGACUCCUACGGGAGGCAGCAGUGGGGAAUAUUGGACAAUGGGCGAAAGCCUGAUCCAGCAAUGCCGCGUGAGUGAUGAAGGCCGUAGUGUUGUAAAGCUCUUUUACCCGGGAUGAUAAUGACAGUACCGGGAGAAUAAGCUCCGGCUAACUCCGUG